rnacentral:misc_RNA from 1 species
UCCACAAUCAAUAUUCCAGUA